CCUACGGGAGGCAGCAGUAGGGAAUCUUUCACAAUGGGCGAAAGCCUGAUGGAGCAACGCCGCGUGCAGGAUGAAUGCCUUCGGGUUGUUAACUGCUUUUAUAAGCGAGAAAUAUGAUGGUAACUUAUGAAUAAGGAUCGGCUAACUACGUGCCAGCAGCCGCGGUCAUACGUAGGAUCCGAGCAUUAUCCGGAGUGACUGGGCGUAAAGAGGUGCGUUUGUGGCGUAAUAAGUAGCUAGUGAAAUCUGGUGGCUCAAACAUUCAGACUAUUAGCUAAACUGUUAAGCUCGAGACCGUUAGGGGUAACUGGAAUUUCUAGUGUAGGAGUGAAAUCCGUAGAUAUUAGAAGGAACACCAAUAGCGUAGGCAGGUUACUGGGACGGUACUGACACUAAGGCACGAAAGCGUAGGGAGCAAACAGGAUUAGAUACCCUUGUAGUC
rnacentral:rRNA from 1 species